rnacentral:rRNA from 1 species
CCUACGGGUGGCAGCAGUGGGGAAUAUUGGACAAUGGGCGAAAGCCUGAUCCAGCCAUGCCGCGUGUGUGAAGAAGGCCUUCGGGUUGUAAAGCACUUUCAGUGGGGAAGAAAGCCUUGGGGCUAAUACCCUCGAGGAAGGACAUCACCCACAGAAGAAGCACCGGCUAACUCCGUGCCAGCAGCCGCGGUAAUACGGAGGGUGCGAGCGUUAAUCGGAAUUACUGGGCGUAAAGCGCGCGUAGGCGGUCUGAUAAGCCGGUUGUGAAAGCCCCGGGCUCAACCUGGGAACGGCAUCCGGAACUGUCAGGCUAGAGUGCAGGAGAGGAAGGUAGAAUUCCCGGUGUAGCGGUGAAAUGCGUAGAGAUCGGGAGGAAUACCAGUGGCGAAGGCGGACUUCUGGACUGACACUGACGCUGAGGUGCGAAAGCGUGGGUAGCAAACAGGAUUAGAUACCCGUGUAGUC